UACAGAGGAUGCAAGCGUUAUCCGGAAUGAUUGGGCGUAAAGCGUCUGUAGGUGGCUUUUUAAGUCCGCCGUCAAAUCCCAGGGCUCAACUCUGGACAGGCGGUGGAAACUGUCUGGCUUGAGUCCGGGAGGGGCGAGUGGAAUUCCUGGUGUAGCGGUGAAAUGCGCAGAUAUCAGGAGGAACACCAAUGGCGAAGGCAGCUCGCUGGGACGGUUACUGACGCUGAGGCGCGAAAGCGUGGGGAGCAAACGGG
rnacentral:rRNA from 1 species